rnacentral:rRNA from 1 species
CCUACGGGGGGCUGCAGUGGGGAAUAUUGGACAAUGGGGGCAACCCUGAUCCAGCCAUGCCGCGUGUGUGAAGAAGGCCCUCGGGUUGUAAAGCACUUUCAGUGAGGAAGAACGCCUGGUGGUUAAUACCCAUCAGGAAAGACAUCACUCACAGAAGAAGCACCGGCUAACUCCGUGCCAGCAGCCGCGGUAAUACGGAGGGUGCGAGCGUUAAUCGGAAUUACUGGGCGUAAAGCGCGCGUAGGUGGCUUGAUAAGCCGGUUGUGAAAGCCCCGGGCUCAACCUGGGAACGGCAUCCGGAACUGUCAAGCUAGAGUGCAGGAGAGGAAGGUAGAAUUCCCGGUGUAGCGGUGAAAUGCGUAGAGAUCAGGAGGAAUACCAGUGGCGAAGGCGGCCUUCUGGACUGACACUGACACUGAGGUGCGAAAGCGUGGGUAGCAAACAGGAUUAGAUACCCUUGUAGUC